AUAGGAUUCAUUUCUGAUACACAGUGGGAUACAAGGUGGGAUUGAGACAGUAGUAAGUAGAAAGCACCCAUUUACCAUCUAAGGUGGAUAAAACAUACUAAUAUAGGCACCCCAAGAGAACUACUAGUUGUAAUAUUGCAUAACGUUUCAGAACAAAUGGACAGAAGAGCAUAGAAAAUAUCCCAUAUGUAGGAGAUUGCACCUAACAUCC